GUAUGUGUUCAUUCAAAAAUAAAAUGGAGCUUGAAACUCGGCAACAACACUUUCACAGAGAAAAAUCAUAUUUACGGAGGUUUUUUACUGGCCUGUGUCUACUGGUAAUCAUGUGUUUUCUGGUUGUAUGGUCUUAUACGGGUAAUCAAAGGAAGAAGC